rnacentral:rRNA from 1 species
CCUACGGGUGGCAGCAGUGGGGAAUAUUGGACAAUGGGGGGAACCCUGAUCCAGCCAUGCCGCGUGUGUGAAGAAGGCCCUCGGGUUGUAAAGCACUUUCAGUGAGGAAGAACGCCUGGUGGUUAAUACCCAUCAGGAAAGACAUCACUCACAGAAGAAGCACCGGCUAACUCCGUGCCAGCAGCCGCGGUAAUACGGAGGGUGCGAGCGUUAAUCGGAAUUACUGGGCGUAAAGCGCGCGUAGGUGGCUUGAUAAGCCGGUUGUGAAAGCCCCGGGCUCAACCUGGGAACGGCAUCCGGAACUGUCAAGCUAGAGUGCAGGAGAGGAAGGUAGAAUUCCCGGUGUAGCGGUGAAAUGCGUAGAGAUCGGGAGGAAUACCAGUGGUGAAGGCGGCCUUCUGGACUGACACUGACACUGAGGUGCGAAAGCGUGGGUAGCAAACAGGAUUAGAUACCCGGGUAGUC